CUAUAUUAGGAGCCCGACUGUUUGUUUGAUACACAGUGCACAUCAACACUGCAUUAGGUAACAACAAUGGCGACUUUAAUUUCAUUAUUAGCAGUAACGGCAGUAUUAGCAACGCCUAGUGCAGCAUUAGAGAGCAGUAGCGACCCACAGAGCGACGCUUGCGCCAAAUUGUCGUCGUGUGCCACUUGCCUCAGUAAAAGUUAUUGUUCCUGGUGCGUUACCAAGAGCAAAUGUACGAAACAGUCUUGCGGCAACGACAACGUUAUCUACCCCAAAAGCGUUAAGGCUUUAAUGUCCGGACCCCAAUUCUGCCCGAGAAUUGUCCGCCCGGAGAAAGAGCUCGCAUUCGAGAGCGGAAAAAAGCAAAUCUUAAGCGUUAAAAUCACACAGAUCUAUUUAUACAUGGCUUUUACUACUUGGAAAUGCAGAAUCAGUUUGAACGACGAAGAAAUUGAUGUGAACGCAGUGCUGCUUGCUGACGAGGUGUAUUGUGACUCUGUAGUACUGAGUAAUAAAUCAGAUAAGCCUGAAGCAGCAGGCAGUGUGACGCUGCUGUGGGAACAGAAUAAGGUGCUCGACGGGAGUGUGCCUUUCAUAGUGUGUCGGUGUGAUAUGGAUUCUGGUUGUGCAGUUUGUAAAUAGGUUAAACAGAUUCCUUGUGAAUGAUGAUUAAAGUUAUUAGAGCACUGGCACAAAAUAUUAUAUCAAGACGUACAAUGUUAGUAUUAGUAAUGUAAUUUUUAUAAUAUGAAAUAUUUUCAAUUGUAAUUAAAAUAUCUAAUCUUAUGUAAUUAUUGUUCAAAUUCAUUAAGUCAAUAAUUAAAUGUAAUAUGUGCUAAAUAUUGUGAAAUCCCAUUGGCUCAUAAUACCUUCAACAGUUAUUUAUUUUUAAAUAACUGUUAUGUUAUAUUAAGUUUUAUUAAGUAAACACGUGUUAUAGUAAUAAAUAUAGCUGCUAACUGUUCUACAAGCUGA